GGACUACACGGGUUUCUAAUCCUGUUUGAUCCCCACGCUUUCGUGCCUCAGUGUCAAUAGUAGUGUAGCGAGCUGCCUUCGCAAUCGAUGUUCUAUGUCAUAUCUAAGCAUUUCACCGCUACAUGACAUAUUCCGCUCACCUCCACUAUAUUCAAGAUAAAUAGUAUCAACGGCAGUUUCUAAGUUAAGCUUAGAGAUUUCACCACUGACUUACCUACCCACCUACGCACCCUUUAAACCCAGUGAAUCCGGAUAACGCUUGCACCCUCCGUAUUACCGCGGCUGCUGGCAC
rnacentral:rRNA from 1 species